AACCCAAAACCCCAAAACCCAAAACCCAAACCCCAAAACCCCAAAAACCCCAAAACAAAAAUCGAAACCCAAAACCCCGAACCCCUAAACCCCUGAACCCCUAAACCCUGAAACCCCUAACCCUGAACCCCAAACCCUGAACCCUUAAACCCUGAACCCUUAAACCAUUAAACCCUAGACUCUAAACCCUUAACCCUAGACCCUGAACCCUUAACCCUAGACCCUAAAACCCUAGACUCUAAGACCCUAGACCCUAUACCCUAAACCCUAGACCCUAUGCCCUAAACCCUAAGCCUUAAAUCUAAAAACCAAAAACUUUAAAACCUAAAUUCUAAACCCUAAACCCUAAAUCCCUAAAACUCUAAACCCCUCAAACCCUAUAUCCUAAAUCCUAAACCCUGAAUCCCUGAACUCUGAACCCUGAAUCCCUGAACUCUAAACCCUGAACUCUAAACCCUGAACAUCUGAACCCUGAACCCUUGAACCCUGAACCCUAUAUCUUGAACCCUUGAACCCUUGAGCCCCGAACCCCGAACACCAAACCCUGAACCCUGAACCCUGAACCCUGAAUCCUGAACCUUGAACCAUAAACCGUAAGCCCUGAACCCUGAGCCUUGAAUUCU
rnacentral:lncRNA from 1 species